UGGCCGAACGGCAACGGCAGCGCCGCCGCGUUCUGGCCUCCCUUUGCUCUCUCAACCUCCAGCACCAACAACGGCUCUAGAUCCUCUCCACCCGAUCCAGGUAAGUUAAUGAAAUCCAGUUAGAUUCGUCCAAGUUCGUGUUUAGCCUUGAUUUGAAUUGGAUAUGAAUUCACUUGCUUCGAUUUUGUUGUCUUUCUUUCAAGGUUAUCUGGCCUCGACUUGAUGUGUUGGGAUGAUUGGAUUUGUUCUUGAGAUGUUUUGCUUUGGUUUGGAUGAGUAAUAGUAUAAGGGCAGAGCAGAAUUUGACAUGGGAGGUGGGAUACAUGCGGUGGUCACCAGACGGGGUGGAAGAUGUGAUUAUGACCAUCAACGGCCACUACCCGGGCCCCACCAUUCGGGCUGUGGCCGGCGAGACCAUUCAGGUUCAGGUCACCAACAGCCUUCCCACCGAGGGAGUCGUCAUCCACUGGCAUGGAAUCAGACAGGUGCAUCUCCUCUCUAUAUCUCAUUAUUUCAUUAUCAUACUCUAUAUAUAUUUUGCAUGAAAAUUUCAAUAUAAUUAUGAUAUAUUUUGAUUUAAUAAUACACAGAUUGGGACACCAUGGUCGGAUGGAACAGCCUCCAUCUCGCAGUGCGCCAUAAAUCCAAGAGAAUCAUUUGUCUACAAGUUUACUGUCGACAGGUUACAUAUAUACAUUGAUACAUAUAUAAGGAUACAUUGAAAAAGCAAAUAUUUUCAUCCAGGAUGUUGUGCUUGGGUUGCCGUCCUGGCCUCCCUCUGCUCUCUCAACCUCCAGCACCAACAACGGCUCUAGAUCCUCUCCACUCGAUCCAGAGGUAAGUUUAAUGAAAUCCAGUUAGAUUCGUCCAAGUUCGUGUUUAGCCUUGAUUUAAAUUGGAUAUGAAUUCACUUGCUUCGGUUUUGUUGUCUUUC
rnacentral:lncRNA from 1 species